GUCCAGCUGACGAGUGCCAACUAGGACGAAACGUGUGUCUUGGGU
rfam:Schistosoma haematobium C9693834_1, whole genome shotgun sequence.